CCUACGGGUGGCUGCAGUGGGGAAUAUUGGACAAUGGGCGAAAGCCUGAUCCAGCCAUGCCGCGUGUGUGAAGAAGGCCUUCGGGUUGUAAAGCACUUUCAGUGGGGAAGAAAGCCUUGGGGCUAAUACCCUCGAGGAAGGACAUCACCCACAGAAGAAGCACCGGCUAACUCCGUGCCAGCAGCCGCGGUAAUACGGAGGGUGCGAGCGUUAAUCGGAAUUACUGGGCGUAAAGCGCGCGUAGGCGGUCUGAUAAGCCGGUUGUGAAAGCCCCGGGCUCAACCUGGGAACGGCAUCCGGAACUGUCAGGCUAGAGUGCAGGAGAGGGAGGUAGAAUUCCCGGUGUAGCGGUGAAAUGCGUAGAGAUCGGGAGGAAUACCAGGGGCGAAGGCGGCCUUCUGGACUGACACUGACGCUGAGGUGCGAAAGCGUGGGUAGCAAACAGGAUUAGAUACCCCAGUAGUC
rnacentral:rRNA from 1 species